GGAUAUGAGGGUUAUCUGGCUGCGACACCUGUCACUCCACUCAUUGCUAGGGUUGAUUCAGCUGAUCUGGCUGGCAAGGUGAGUGUCCCAUUCCUCCCUCACUGCUCCAUGUGAAUCAUUUCCAAAGCUGUGCAUUCAGUCAAAGAGGAUAGCCUUCCCUAAAUCAAGAUGGGCUGGUAUUUAGUCAGAGUAUGUGAGUAGCUGUGCUCCCCCUGCUAGGACCUCCAAAUAAGCUCUCAAACAGGCCUUCCCUGAUAAAACUUAGCAAAUUAUUUUCCUACCCAACAAAUCCUCAUGACAUCCCUAUUUCUAUUU
rfam:Erinaceus europaeus unplaced genomic scaffold scaffold00034, whole genome shotgun sequence